AUGAAGUACCCCUCCCUUGCUAGGGUUGGCCUGGCUCCCCCCGUCAUACUUGACUCUAUCCUUGCUGACAUGCAGCCCGUUGUGCCUCCUCCUGUCUCUAUCGCCCCAGCCAUCCAUCCGGUGCCUUCGAUCAUUGCUUCUAUGCUUUCUGCUGCGUCACCGGUGCCUGCCCUCCCCCCCAGCUGUGUGCCUUCGGUGGUCCCCGUUCCUGCUGCCGCAUGUACUGCUACUGCCGCCAUGCCGGUGCUGGAGCUGGCUCCUCAAUCUGUUCCUCCGGUGGUCUACUCUCGCCGUCCCCGGGCUGCUGCACCUCUGGCUCAGCCCCCUCUGCGGGUCUUGGACGAGGAGCCUGAGCCGGCGGUGCACGAGGCCAUUGCCAAGAAGAAGCGUGCGUACCGCAAGCGGGCUAGCUCGGUGUUGCAUGUCAGGCGGAGUGCUCGUCUUGCUGAGCUGGAGCCAUACAGGAAGGAGACCAUGGAGGACAAAGCCUCCAAGGCCAAAGCCAAGCGCUUGAUGCUGGGCCGCUCCGCUCGCGACUUCGAGGAUGCAGUGCGUACCGCUCGCCUGUACCCUGAUGCUGCGCAGUUGGGCUCUCCCCAUGCCCUGGCCGCUCUGGCUCUGGAGUGUGGCUCCUCUCCUGAUGAGGCUGAUUUCGUGGCCUCUUUUGCUGGUGCCUCUGCCAAGUGA
rnacentral:rRNA from 1 species